rnacentral:rRNA from 1 species
GAUGAACGCUGGCGGCGUGCCUAAUACAUGCCAGUCGAGCGAACGGACGAGAAGCUUGCUUCUCUGAUGUUAGCGGCGGACGGGUGAGUAACACGUGGAUAACCUACCUAUAAGACUGGGAUAACUUCGGGAAACCGUAGCUAAUACCGGAUAAUAUUUUGAACCGCAUGGUUCAAAAGUGAAAGACGGUCUUGCUGUCACUUAUAGAUGGAUCCGCGCUGCAUUAGCCAGUUGGUAAGGUAACGGCUUACCAAGGCAACGAUGCAUAGCCGACCUGAGAGGAUGAUCGGCCACACUGGAACUGAGACACGGUCCAGACUCCUACGGGAGGCAGCAGUAGGGAAUCUUCCGCAAUGGGCGAAAGCCUGACGGAGCAACGCCGCGUGAGUGAUGAAGGUCUUCGGAUCGUAAAACUCUGUUAUUAGGGAAGAACAUAUGUGUAAGUAACUGUGCACAUCUUGACGGUACCUAAUCAGAAAGCCACGGCUAACUACGUG